rnacentral:rRNA from 1 species
UACGUAGGGGGCUAGCGUUGUCCGGAAUCAUUGGGCGUACAGCGCGUGUAGGCGGUUCGGUAAGUCCGCUGUGAAAGUCGGGGGCUCAACCCUCGGAUGCCGGUGGAUACUGUCGGGCUUGAGUACGGAAGAGGCGAGUGGAAUUCCUGGUGUAGCGGUGAAAUGCGCAGAUAUCAGGAGGAACACCAAUUGCGAAGGCAGCUCGCUGGGACGUUACUGACGCUGAGACGCGAAAGCGUGGGGAGCAAACAGG